rnacentral:rRNA from 1 species
UACGUAGGGUGCAAGCGUUUGUCCGGAAUUAUUGGGCGUAAAGAGCUCGUAGGCGGUUUGUCGCGUCUGCUGUGAAAAUCCAGGGCUUAACUCUGGACCUGCAGUGGGUACGGGCAGACUGGAGUGCGGUAGGGGAGAUCGGAAUUCCUGGUGUAGCGGUGAAAUGCGCAGAUAUCAGGAGGAACACCGGUGGCGAAGGCGGAUCUCUGGGCCGUAACUGACGCUGAGGAGCGAAAGCAUGGGGGAGCGAACAGGA